GCUGCUGCUAUUGGGAUUCGGGUUAACCAUGCAAGUUCAGGUGUCGCAAGAUACCGGCGUCAUGCUCAGUAACACGUCAUCAAUCUGCCCUAUGGUCCGGGAUAGCUUCGGGAAACUGAAGGUAAACCCGGAUAAAGGUGAUGCACUGCAAUGUGCUCUCCUUCAAAAGCAAUGCCAUAGGAUGAGAUGGCGGCCGAUUAGGCUGUUGGCGAGUGUAACGGACCACCAAACCUAUGAUCGGUAGGGGCCCUGAAAGGGGUCGCCCCGAGAAGAGAACUGAGAUACUGUCUCUAGCCCCACGGGGUGCAGCAGGUGCGAAAUCUCUACAAUGCACGCAAGUGUGAUAGGGGAAUCCCAAGUGCUUAUGCUUUGCAUAGGCUUUUGCUAAGAGUAAAUAUCUUGGCGAAUAAGUGGUGGGUAAGACGGGUGCCAGCCGCCGCGGUAACACCCGCGCCACGAGUAGGAGCCGCUAUUAUUUGGCCUAAAGCGUCCGUAGCUGGUAUAGCAAAUCCUUUGUGAAAUUGUUGCGCUUAACGUAACAACGUGCAAGGGACACUACUACACUAGGGACUGGGAAGGGUGAGAGGUAUUCCGGGGGGAGCGGUAAAAUGUUAUAAUCCUCGGAAGACCACCUGUGGCGAAGGCGUCUCACUAGAACAGACCCGACAGUCAGGGACGAAAGCUAGGGGAGCGAUCCGGAUUAGAUACCCGAGUAGUCCUAGCUGUAAACGUUGCGAGCUAGGUGUUGCGUUUUCUUUAUGAAUGCGCAGUGUCNAAGCGAAAGCGAUAAGCUCGCCGCCUGGGAAGUACGGUCGCAAAACUGAAACUUAAAGGAAUUGGCGGGGGAGCACUACAAGGGGUGCGGCGUGCGGUUUAAUCUAAUUCCACACAGAGAAUCUCACCAAGGGCGACGGCAGGAUGAAAGUCAAGCUAAAGACUUUACUUGACGAGCCGAGAGGUAGUGCAUGGCCAGCGUCAGCUCGUGCCGCAAGGUGUCCUGUUAAGUCAGGCAACGAGCGAGACCUGCAUCAAUAGUUGCUAACGAGUUCUCGCGAACGAUCGAGGUUACUAUUGAGACUGCCUGUGAAAACAGGAGGAAGGUGCAGGCUACGGUAGGUCAGUAUGCUCCGAAUCCUUUGGGCUACACGCGCGCAACAUUGGUAAGGACAAUGGGAUGCAACUCCGAAAGGAGAAGCUAAUCCUCUAAACCUUAUCUCAGUCCAGAUUGAAGAUUGUAACUCAUCUUCAUGACGUUGGAAUCCCUAGUAAUCGGACGUCAUCAGCGUCCGGUGAAUAUGUCCCUGCUCCUUGCACACACCGCCCGUCAAACCAACCGAGCAGGGUUUUGAUGAGGCCUCAUCUUUGGUGGGGUCGAAUCUAAGCUCAGUGAGGUGGGUU
rnacentral:rRNA from 1 species